UACAGAGGUCUCAAACGUUGUUCGGAUUCAUUGGGCGUAAAGGGUGCGUAGGUGGCGAUGUAAGUCUGGUGUGAAAUCUCGGAGCUUAACUUCGAAAUUGCAUUGGAUACUGCGUUGCUUGAGGAUUGUAGAGGAGAGUGGAAUUCACGGUGUAGCAGUGAAAUGCGUAGAUAUCGUGAGGAAGACCAGUUGCGAAGGCGACUCUCUGGGCAAUUCCUGACACUGAGGCACGAAGGCCAGGGGAGCAAACGGG
rnacentral:rRNA from 1 species